GGAGGUACCUUUAAGCCCGUACCAUACUAGACUAAUUCACAUUCGCAUCGAGUCGGCCCAAUUAAGGGGCAAAGUGUUGCAUGUGCAGAUUGGUUUUUCCUUA